UACAGAGGUCCCGAGCGUUGUUCGGAUUCACUGGGCGUAAAGGGUGCGUAGGUGGCGAUGAAAGUUCGAUGUGAAAUCUCCGGGCUUAACCCGGAAAAGGCAUUGAAAACUAUGUUGCUUGAGGGUUUGGAGGGGGGACUGGAAUUCUUGGUGUAGCAGUGAAAUGCGUAGAUAUCAAGAGGAACACCAGUGGCGAAGGCGGGUCCCUGGACAACACCUGACACUGAGGCACGAAAGCUAGGGGAGCGAAACAGG
rnacentral:rRNA from 1 species